UCUUAAAUUAGAAGUGUACCUGACAAAUUAUUUGCAAAAACGUUACGAUAAAUCCGAGUGUCGCAAAUGAAAGAGAAUUUGCGCUACUGUGAAAUUUUAAGAAAAUGUAAUAUCUCGUGUAGUUAAUGUUUGACCAUGGAAGUGAAAUUCUCGCGGAUCAAGUGACAUAAUUUUGCCAUUAACACAUGGAUAAGACAAUGAUCUUGUUUGUGAUAUUAAGCUUAUACUCACGCCAGUUUCCUCAUAGUGAUCGAGCAGUUUUGCCACAAUUCCGAUGACAACAAAUGUUCACGAAAGUCGUAUUGCAAACAAAAUAUCGCUUUAUCAUUUUUAACGGAAACCAUGACUUUUCGCUGGCAAUUCGCAAUGAAAUUCAUCACGUCUGACGGUAUAAAAGCUGGUUGGGAAAAACCCGGUUCGGCACAGUUUCCAUAAGCCCGCAGCAGCAGCAGCAGCAGCGGCCUUUAAUCCCCACAAUCUGAUUCCGUCACGACCAGGCGAGAAGAAUGGCCGAAAUUAAAUUUCUCGCGCCUACGCUGCUUGAGAUAUUUACCAAGACAUCCUGUGCAUAGCAGAGAAGAUUGCUGAUUCGGUAUUUCCGUCGAUACGCCAAUGGCAAAACCGGAAUUCCGACUGAACCAAUUGGCAUACAUGAUGAACGUUUCACUGGAAAUAAAAAUGCACGUUUCAUCAUCAACGAAAGAAAUCAAAGCUCGAAUCCUCGUUUCUAAAUUUGAUAAAGAAACCACAGUUUGACCAUGAAAAUUACGCGGCGACAAAAAUCUAAAGAUAAGAGCCGGAAUAAAACGGGAAAACAAGUUCUAGGAAAAUCUCCAGAGGGAAAUAUAUAAAUUUCAUUGUUCCUGUCGCUGUGCCAUUAAUUGCUUGCGUCGUUGUAUCGUAUAAUUGUGGUUUACGCGAGUUAUCGAUAGAAAUUAUAAACGAGUUUAAUUACGACACCCAACAUGUUCUUCACGUGGAUAAACGCUGCCUGUAUAAGUUUGGAAAAAUAAUGUAAUAUUGAUCGAAAUAUAAUUUAUAUUAUA